rnacentral:rRNA from 1 species
GUAGCAAUACGGCAGCGGCAGACGGGAGAGUAACACGUGGGAACGCGCCCUUCGGUUCGGGAUAACCCAGGGAAACUUGGGCUAAUACCGGAUACGCCCUUACGGGGAAAGAUUUAUUGCCGAAGGAACGGCCCGCGUCCGAUUAGCUAGUUGGUGAGGUAACGGCUCACCAAGGCGACGAUCGGUAGCUGGUCUGAGAGGAUGACCAGCCUCACUGGGACUGAGACACGGCCCAGACUCCUACGGGAGGCAGCGGUGGGGAAUAUUGGACAAUGGGCGCAAGCCUGAUCCAGCCAUGCCGCGUGGGUGAUGAAGGCCCUAGGGUUGUAAAGCCCUUUCAGCGGGGAAGAUAAUGACGGUACCCGCAGAAGAAGCCCCG